UUGAUAUUUUGUUGAUUGUUAGGUGUCAAUGGUUGAAGUGUACAAUGAGUCAAUUUAUGAUCUAUUGAAGUCACCAAAUAAAGUACAAGAGAAGCUUCAAAUACACAAAAAAGGAAAGAAUGACAUGUACCAGGCUGACAGAGAUUGAAGUAUGUUCCACUGAUGAUGUUAUUAAAGUUAUGAGAGUUGGAUAGUAGAACAGCUUCAACUAAAAUGGACACUAACAGGUCUCAUCUCCUCCUUUUAUUGUACCUAGUUGGUUUCUUAUAAUUCAGUAUCCAAGACUACCACAAGAGGUAGUCUCAUAAUAGUGGAUCAGAGAAAAUAUGAAGGAGUGAAGCAACUGGACUGAGACUA